AAGACGAAACAAUGUAGAUGAUUUAAUGUAUGAUGCAAUAGGUAAUAGAAUAAUUAGCCGAUACGCUAUUCCCUUGGGGUGGCCCACGUGGGGAAAGUCUCACGCGGCGAAAUUGUCAUUUUCCGUUGCCGUCGAUUUUGCCGGCGGAUGUGCGUGUCAAAUUGUAUUGGGAUUCCAAAAAAAGGCUGGCUUCCUAGCUCGGAACCACCAUGGCUCGAGUUUCUCCUGUAACUGUGUGAGGGGUUUCCCAUCUAACGCGUUGGCAAAUGGCUGCAACUGUGCUGGACAUUGCUAUGGUUGCCCGCGUGCGUCCUGCACUCCAUGCGUUUCCGCUAUGGCGUCUAAGCUCUCUGUCAACCACCACUGCCCCUGCAAAUCGUUCAGACCUGCCACAGAUUUGGCUGCUAUAUUCGAAGGAAGUGACGGGAACACGAUAAACGGCUUUUAUAUUCAAAGGGAGUGACGAAGACAAGACAAAGGACAGGAAAAAACUUUUUCAAGCUGCUCGAAGUCCGCUUUUAGUUUGUUUGACUGGGUUUUAAUUUGUUUGCUACAGUUUCUGUACCUUCCUCUUUGUUUGGAAUUUUUAGGGCGUUAUUCUGAUGCAUCGAUCGCCAUUGUGUUAAUGAUAGUGUUUUAAACCGUCAUAUGCUCGUGUUCAAAGCUUCCAAAAUCUUGUAAGUUUGUCCGUAUUUUUAGAGUAACGAAUAUUUCCAGCAUAUCUUGGUAUGUAAAUUUUAAUUGUCAAUGAAGUGAUUUCCCUUAACAUUUCGUCAUGGUAUCUAGCUAAAAGAAUGCAUGAUCGUAGGGUAUCAUCAUAUAAGUUUCAGUGAAGUGGCUUCUCUUAAAAUGUUAUUAUGGAAAACUGGCUGCAAAUAGUGCAUUAUCUUUGGGUAUCACCGUGUUAGUAGAAUAUCACUUUUUCAGAGGUUUUCCCCAAAUUUGUUUCAAUUGCCAUUAUUUAUUUUAAAAACCUCAUUGCAUGAGAGAUUGCAUGCUCUACUAUCUCUUGUUUAAGACAUUCAAUCACUCUGCUAGGGUUCUCUGUUUGCCAAUAAUGGCCGUUGGCCUCCGAUAGGUGCCGCUCAUUGCAAUAUGCAAUGUCUUAUGUGAUUUAUUGUUUUCAAUCUCGUAACCCUGAGAAUUUGGGGGUUACUGCUAUUAAAUCAAUGCGUCCCUUUAAAUAGGGCCCGCAGUUGAUCGUUUGUAAUCGCACCCUUUGUAAAUAUUGAAACCACUACUUAGUAAAUAAUAAUGAGAUUGCUGUCAUAGCAAUCUUCUUACUUGAUCAUUUAUAUUUGUGGAUGUUGUGUAUGGGGUCAGAUUAAUGUCUGGGUUCGAUUUAGUUAAGAAAAUGUUAAGUCUUAUAUAAUAAGACAAUUUCCUGAAGACAUAGUUAUAUUCCUUAUUUGUUUUUCCUUAAGGUAGGUUAUGAGGGAACUUAUGGUGGUCGUAUGAAAAGAUUAAUAGACUAAAGACCAUGAGAGGCCAAGGAUUGGCCAUUUGCUAAGGAGGUGAAGAGCAUCCUGAAGAAAGCGCCAGUCAGAGACUAUUAAUGCCAGGGCAUUUCCCACAUCCAAAGACAUCAAUGGUGGCUUUGAAGGGGUUGUAGGGCUCAAAUGAAAAAAAGGGCAUUUGUGAGACUGCAUGUUGUUUCAGGAAAAAUGUCUGGACCAAAAAGUUAAAAGAUGUUUCCCUACUUGCUGAGGUUGAUUUGCCUGAUGACAUUUUGGAUAAGAUAAUAAAGGACUUCUCUUCCAGCCUAGCCAGUGAAGCAUCUUAGAUGUUUUCCCGAUCAUAGAGUGCCCUGUCUAUGGGCUAUAAAUUUUUAUGAAAAACUUUUAUUCAAUGUGUAGUUCAUACAUAAGCAUCAUUUAUUUUAUAUUGUUCCCCUUAGCUUAAGACAAGUAGUACCUGGGAUGAUGCAACAUUGUAAAUACAUCCCUGGAUGAAGGGAUUGUAUCUUUGUCAUCUAGUAUUCAUAGAAAAAAGGGAAUCCCUUAGUUUUUGUAUUCAUGCUAUGCUUAGCUUUGUGUAAGGAUGGGUUAUUUUUGAAAAAGAAUCCCAAGAAAAAACACAUCACAUGUCAAACACAUAAGCAGAUCUGAGAAUCGGAUACUAAGUACUAUAAAAGGAGAGUUCCAUCCUCUCACCUCGCCUUCAUGCCUGAUUCGAUUGCUUUGAUUUUGUUAGGUUUUCAUUUUGUCUUGGUUUUUUUUCUGUAAUUGUAUGCAUUUACUCAUUCAUGUUGGUAUUUCUCCAGAAUUUCAAUUUCUAUAGGGCGUUGCUACUUGAUAGUGGAGAUAGUGGAACCUCUCAGGAACACCAAGGUUGAAUAAUCAAUAAACUAUUGCUCUAUGUUAUCUUUUAACCAUAUAGGAUAGGACCUUAGUUAUUAGGUUGGAAAAUGAUCAUUGGAUCUCUUCGAAACAGAAUUUUGAAGUCUUUGUAAUCAUCCUAUCUCAUAGGAUUUGAGCAUUGACCAGUAGUGCUCCAUUUGAGUUUGUUAUUUAUUGGUCAAGAAGCAGUCCUUAGUAAUCUAACACGAUUUUAAGCGAAUUUAAAAGCACUAUUUGUGGCCAUGUUUAUGUUCUUCCAUUCAUAUGGCAUUCUCUUUGUGUGAUGCUUGAUAUGUGAAUGUCUUUUUAACUAGGAAUGUUUCAUCUCUGUCGUAUGGAUUUAGUUUAAUAAGUAAUGUUUAGCCCAGUAGGUAAAGGCACCAAUCUAGGCAAAUUUUAUCAACAAUUUUGAUUAUAUGUUGCUUUUUUUUCUGUCUAUGAUAAUUCUGGAUCUAAUGAGUAAUGUCAAAUGUGAUUUGUCUUGAGCCUUCCUGCAAUCUAGAACAAGUCUAAGGGUUUCUUUCCAUUUUCACGUUGAAUUAAAAAUUGAUUGUCAAUGGUUUCAAAAGAAUACGCAAUUGUCUUUAUUAAUCUGCAUAAGUUUUUUAUAUGAUACAUAUAAGAGCAAAUUCUUUCAACGUUUGCAACAAAUUAAUAUGUAAUUGUAGUAGAAAGUGUCUUCUCCACCUCAAACUUGAUGUGCUUGUUCUUUGAUAUAUUAAUUGUAAACUUAUAAGUAUAAGUAAAUGCCCCCCUAGACCUUGCAGAGCCUACAGAGUGGGAAGGAGACCUUCUAUGAUAGGCUCUGUCACCUAGAUUAGUGCCUCUGGUCUGAGAAGAAAGAUAAAAAAAAAAAUGAAAAUAACACUUGCAAACUGUGUCUAAAAUGAACAGGAGUAUCGGAAUGAGUCUAGAUUAGGCAUAUGAAUUAACCACAGUAUGCGUUGACUGAGAGUUUUGUCUUCUUCUUUAAAGGGUACUAAAUUGUGCAACAAUGUAACGUUGUUCUCUUGUUUCAUAUGGUGAGCGUCAUAUGCCUCUCUGGACCAAAGAUUUUAGUACAUAAUUCACUAUAGUUUGAUGCCUACAAUUAUAAUCUUAACACUUCCACAAAUGUCAAUUAUACAAAAUCUCCACUUCAGAUUUGGGGCCACCAUGAUAUAUAGUGAUAUUUAAAAUUUUCAAAAAUCCCUUUAUUGUUGAGAUGAUGAACUGGAUCCUGCAUCCCUACUCGCACUUAAAGAAUAAAGAAGUAGUUGAGUUUGAAUGGUAUAUGUGGCUGAUUCAAGAUCUGGUAGUUUACAUUACAAAUAGUAGGCUAUAUUCAAGCCGCAUGUGGUUCUGACUCAUUAGAAGAGACAUCUAACCACUGCAGAGAUGAGUUCCUGCCAAGCUCCUGUGGAAGUGUCUCUGUAAAGGAGUUGUUCCAGAUUUCCAGAGUCUCCAGUUCAGGAAGCUCACAAAUACUUUCUGGAAUUCUACCACUGAAACUAUUUAGCAUAAGACUCAGAAGUGCUAAGCCCUUGAGAUUACCUAUUUCAUAAGGAAGGCUCCCUGAGAGGAAAAUGUCUGAGAGAUCUGAAGACUUGAGGGAACUCAUGUUGCCAAUUUCUCUAGGGAUAGUUCCACUUAGCCUAUUCUUGAAAAAAAAAAGGGUAUGCAACUUCCUUAACUUGCCUAACUCUGGUAGGAUCAUUCCAGAAAGAUUAGAAAAGGCAAGAUCUAAAUACUCCAAUCUACUCAGAUUCCCUAGCUCUGUAGGUAUUCCCCCCUCAAAAUUAUUAUACGCCAAUAUAAGAUUCUCCAGCAUUGACAACUUCCCUAACCUCCAAUAUUAUCCCAGAGAGUCCUAAAAAUUUGAGCUUGGGCAGGUUCCCAUAUGAAGAUGGAAUGGUCCCAUCAAAAAAGCUUCCUCUGAAGUCCAGAUGCACCAACUCAGACAACAUACUAAUAUCCCCAAGAAAUGACCCAGUGAAGUUAUUGUUGUAUGCAGAAAUGUUCACCAGAGCCUUUUCUUUGGACAAUCCACUGGAAAAGCUUCCAUUAAAGAAAUUCCUACUAAUUUCCAAAACAAUCAAUUUAGUGAGAUUGGCUAUAGAUCCAGGCAGUGGACCAGUGAAGCCAUUGGAGGCCAGCUUCAAGAUUUUAAGUCUUCUCAGCAUCUGAAUAUCUUCAAACACAUUUCCUGUGAGAUUUAUCCUUGAAAGAUCAAGUCCUGAAACUCUCCCCUCAUCAUUGCAGCUUACUCCAGACCAGCUACAAUAUCUCUGCAAUACAUCCUGUCUCUAGUCAUGGAGGUGGCCCAAAGGGUCAUCCAGAUUAGAUCUGAGCCUCAGUAGCACCCUCCCAUCUUCAUACAGAUCAGUAGCACAGGCACAAAAAAACAAAAACACCACUGUAAGUAGUCCUGAAUAUACAACUGGAGAAACCAUGUUUAAAGCUUCUGAUCAGCUCCAAACAAUCUGAUCAAUCUCCUCCACCUUCAGUACUCCAUUUUUUCUUCUCAUUCAAAUAGUGUGCCCAAUCUGAACACACCCAACUCCUCCAUAGCCAGAAAUUCAAAGCCAAAACUACUGCCAACACUCGAAAGCUACUGCUAAUACUCCAUACAAACUACAGGGGAUCAACCUGACUUAAGCACUGGACUGAAUCAUUCAUGAAUUCCAUUAAAAGCUCACUAUUUCCCCCCAUGGAUUGCAGAAAAUUCUCAGCAGCAAAAGCCCAGGAUCCCAUGCUCAAGCCUGGAUUCGAUUUGCCUGCACCAUUGGGGAUUGAUGCUUCUGCCACCCUGAUCAACCCAACUAUAAUACUGACUGACUGCCAAAACUUUUCAUUAGUUGCUCAAUAAUUCAAGAGUAGACUCACAAUGAAUAACAAAGAUCGCACUACCAUUUUUAUAUCCGAUCUUGUCUUAGAUUACAUGUUGCUUAAACAAAUAUAAUAUGAUAUGACAUAGUCUCGAUCUAAACUUCUAAUUACAGUCUUCCAUACAUAAUUUUUUUUAACUUCAUCUGCACAAUUUACAAAAUACGUUAGUGGAUGGCAUUGUCAUCAACAUUCUUUUGACCUCUGAUGGAAUUAAAGAUUAACACUUCGACGACUUGUCAUUUACCCUGCUUUGGAAUUGGGGAUUUUCAUAUAAAAAUUGAAGUGUCCAUACCUUUAAUAACUGUGAAACUAUUCAAUCCCUCUAAAACUUUAAUGGCUAAAGUAAAUUGCUUCAAUGUAAUAUAAGAUUUUGAGUUAAAUCAUGAAUUUUACUUUUGUAGUUUUACACGUUGGCAAUCAUAUGUCUCAUGUACUUUAAUCUAAAAAAUUGUUGUUCUCAUUCGCUAGGUGUUAAUUGGACAAACAAAAUCUUUAAUCUCAAAAAUUGUUGUUCUCAUUCGCUAGGUGUUAAUUGGACAAACAAAAUACUUGAUGCCUAAUGCUUCUUAUCAAAAACUGUUUAUAUGUAUUUAAUCUAAAAGAAAAAAUUCAAAACAACAGAUCGACCAUGUUAAAAUCUAUAUCAAUGGUAAUCGUGUCAUGUCAUGUGAAAAGGCCCAAUAUGGUUGUGAUCCGUCUAUCAGACAAAUAAAAGGUUAAAAGACACAAUGGACUCCUGCAUUCAGAUGUAAUAUUUUAUUGUGGACGUAGUAUUGAAUGCAAUAUUUAGCCCAAUUUAUACAUGAAUGACCCUUAUAGCAUUACAUAUAUAGUUGUUCAAUAGGUGUCCAUGGAUCAGGAAGUUAAUAUGCCCUAAAAUGCCUCCAAAAAUUUUGUUUUAUUCCUCAAAUUCAAGUACUUUUUAAAAUAUUUUACUUACUUGAGAGUAUUAGGGUGGGCAAACACAACUGGGGAAAAGCCAGAAGGAAUCCCGCAAAAAAUAGGCCCCAGACCCCAUUUGCAUUCCAAUAUAGAGGCGAGAGCAAACUCCACUAAAAUUUUCAAAGUAGAAGAAAUUAGAACAACAUUUAUCUCAUUAUUUAAAUUAAAGUUUUUAUGAUUCCUCGUUUGGAAGACAACAAAAGAAUGAGUAGGAAAAAGCUUAUCUAACUUGAUGAUAGAAUUUCGCUUCACCUUAUCUUCUUUUAUACAAAAGAAAUGGAGAGAUGUCUACCCAUAAUCUGUUAGUCUGAAUUCAUUAAGUUCAAUGUGCUUGUGUUUAGCUUCUAUUUUCCACUAUUGAUUCUAUGGAUUCUAUAGAUUAAAUUACUCAACUUCAGAGAAUCCUGAAAAAACUAAAAUUAGGGUCAAUUAGAUUGAUUCAGAAUGAUGAGGCAAGGUUGAUGAUUAAGUUCUAGGCAACUGAGGGCCAAAUAAUUCACCCAUUUGAGGAAGAAGGUGAUUAGGGUAACCACCCAUCUUCAAUGCCUUGAUAUGGCUUCCAAACAAUUUCCCAUUUCUGACAUCACAAUAUGACUUCCACAUCAUAUGACUUGACAUUAAGCACCAAAAUAAUAUCUCUAAAUAGAAAAGGAUAGUUAAUCCAUACAUUACAAAGAUCUGAAAAAUAAAAAGAUCUUAAACCGUAAUUUUCAGUGUCAAACUUUAAGCUAUAUAUUGAUUACUUAGUUCAAACAUGAAGAUACUUUGGUUGAUUAUAUACACAAAGCUUCACAUUUUCUGAGCAUUCUAUAUAAUGGAUAUGAGUCUGAUGCGUAUGAAACUGGGGACACUUCUCGUUGUGUGUUCUUGUUCAUGUUUAUCAUCCAUGUCUCGGCCAACAACAACAUUGGGCUUACAACUAUGGAGUAGUUAGCUUUACCGCGGUAACAACAGUAUUGGAUGUCCCCAAAACAAUAAGAAAUCAUCGCAGAGAUUCAGUAGAGUCUAUAGGUGGAAUAUUUUUUAUUUUUAUUAUAUAAUGCCAAGUGUUGGAGUUUAAGUGCUAAGUGCUGGAGUUUAGAGACUCUGACAAAACUCCAAAUGGUACAUGUUUUCAACAGUCCUCGCAAUGCUUUGUUUGAUUGGAAUUUAUAGUUGUGUAGAUGCUAGUGAAUGGAACCCGUGGAAGCAAAAAAAUCAUGGUUUAUGGCUUUUAUAAAUUAAGUACACACUAUUUUACAGAAAGCUACUUGUGCUGCUUGUACCUUGGGUUAUACCCAAUAUAUUAUGUCCAAAUCUACAACAAUUUUCAGAUAUGUUUGCAUGGGGAUGGGUUAAUUAGGUGCUAAAUUAGUGUAAAUAAAAUUUGUUUGUUCCAUUGUAAUUAGAUGCAUUUCUGAGAAUAAUGUGAACCAAAACACAUACUAUACCUUACAGCAAGCUAGUAGUUCUCUGUGUGUUUGGUUAUAUCCAAGGCAAAACUUUAUUAAUUUUGAAGCAUGUUGAAGUGGGAAAUUCUUGUAAACCAAUUUGUUUGUUUCAUUGCCAUUGUAUGCAUUUUCAAGAAUAGUGCGACUCGUAUCUGUUACUAAUUCUUACACCACUGCAUCGAUAUUCUAGGAUGUGUUUAGGUCGCUUGUCUUGAUCUCUCUAAUAAUGAGCCAGAUAUAUUUAAAGUACAAAAAAUAAGGCCAGAAGGAGUGAGACUGUUCAAUAGGUGCUUCACAAAUCUACAAUGCAGACUGUUCAAUAGGUGAUGCAAGGACGAUCCAAGCCAUCUGACUGUAGGAUUUUCCUCUUUGUAAGAUAAACAAGCCGCAUCAGCCUGAUAUGUGGAAUAGCAGGAAAUUUCUGUAUUAUUUUGAAAGAGUGCAUCUGUACAGUAUGUGAAGUUGACAAUUUCAAACUCACGACCUUGUGUUUAUGCAACUUUGAUGUUUUGAGUGUAAUUGUGUUUAAUAUCAUUAUAUAACGGACAUUUACAAGGAAAUGGUCUCAUCUUCUAUCAAUGGUACAUAUAUAUGUGAACUGUGAGCUUUUUGA